rnacentral:tRNA from 2 species
GCCGGAGUAGCUCAGUCGGUAGAGCAGCGCAUUCGUAAUGCGAAGGUCGGGGGUUCAAUUCCUCUCUCCGGCACCA